GGUUCGAUCAUGGCUCAGAUUGAACGCUGGCGGGAUGCUUACACAUGCAAGUCGAACGGCAGCACGGACUUCGGUCUGGUGGCGAGUGGCGAACGGGUGAGCCGUAUCCGGAACGUGCCUAGUAGCGGCGGGGGAUAACUGCGCGGCGAAAGCGUAGCUAAUACCGCAUACGCCCUUCGAGAAAGCGGGACCUUCGGGCCUCACUAUUAGGGCGGCCGAUAUCGGAUCCGGCUAGUUGGUGGGGUAACGGCUCGCAGGCGACGAUCCGUAGCUGGUUUUGAGGACGACCAGCCACACUGGGACUGAGACGGCCCAGACUCCUACGGGAGAGGCAGCAGUGGGGAAUUUUUGGACAAUGGAAACCUGAUCCAGCCAUCCCGCGUGUGCGAUGAAGGCCUUCGGGUUGUAAAAGCACUUUUGGCAGAAAGAAACGGCACGGGAUAAUACCCCGUGCAACUGACGUACCUGCAGAAUAAGCACCAGCUAACUACGUGCCGAAAGCAGCCGCGGUAAUACGUAAGUGCAAGCGUUAAUCGGAAUUACUGGGCGUAAAGCGUGCGCAGGCGGUUCGGAAAGAAAGAUGUGAAAUCCCAGAGCUUAACUUUGGGAACUGCAUUUUUAACUACCGAGCUAGAGUGUGUCAGAGGAGGUGGAAUUCCGCGUGUAGCAGUGAAAUGCGUAGAUAUGCGGAGGAACACCGAUGUGAAGAGCAGCCUCCUGGGAUAACACUGACGCUCAUGCACGAAAGCGUGGGGAGCAAACAGGAUUAGAUACCCUGGUAGUCCACGCCCUAAACGAUGUCAACUAGCUGUUGGGGCCUUCGGGCCUUGGUAGCGCAGCUAACGCGUGAAGUUGACCGCCUGGGAGUACGGUCGCAAGAUUAAAACUCAAAGGAAUUGACGGGGACCCGCACAAGCGGUGGAUGAAGUGUGGAUUAAUUCGAUGCAACGCGAAAAACCUUACCUACCCUUGACAUGUCUGGAAUCCCGAAGAGAUUUGGGAGUGCUCAUAGAGACCGAAUUUACAGGUGCUGCAUGGCUGUCGUCAGCUCGUGUCGUGAAGAUGUUGGGUUAAGUCACAACGAGCGCAACCCUUGUCAUUAGUUGCUACGAAAGGGCACUCUAAUGAGACUGCCGGUAGCAAACCGGAGGAAGGUGGGGAUGACGUCAAGUCCCUCAUGGCCCUUGUAAUUUGGGAACUUCACACGUCAUACAAUGGUCGGAACAGAGGGUCGCCAACCCGCGAGGAGCCAAUCCCAGAGAAACCCGAUCGUAGUCCGGAUCGCAGUCUGCAACUCGACUGCGUGAAGUCGGAAUCGCUGGUAAUCGCGGAUCAGCAUGUCGCAGUGAAUGCGUUCCCGGGUCUUGUACACACCGCCCGUCACACCAUGGGAGUGGGUUUUUUACCAGAAGUAGUUAGCCUAACCGUAAGGAGGGCGAUUACCACGGUAGGAUUCAUGACUGGGGUGAAGUCGUAACAAGACGU
rnacentral:rRNA from 1 species